AUUGAACGCUGGCGGCAGGCCUAACACAUGCAAGUCGAACGAGUGGCGGACGGGUGAGUAAUGUCUGGGAAACUGCCCGAUGGAGGGGGAUAACUACUGGAAACGGUAGCUAAUACCGCAUACCCUCGGAUGUGCCCAGAUGGGAUUAGCUAGUCGGUGGGGUAACGGCGCACCUAGGCGACGAUACCUAGCUGGUCUGCAAGGAUGCCCAUCCACACGGGAACUGAGACACGGUCCAGAAGCCUACGGGAGGCAGCAGUGGGGAAUAUUGCACAGUGGGCGCAAGCCUGAUGCAGCCAUGCCGCGUGUAUGAAGAAGGCCUUCGGGUUGUAAAGUACUUUCAGCGAGGAGGCGUUACUCGCAGAAGAAGCACCGGCUAACUCCGUGCCAGCAGCCGCGGUAAUAC
rnacentral:rRNA from 1 species